CCCUUAGAUGUUCUGGGCCGCACACGCGCUACACUGAUGCAUUCAACGAGUCUAAAACCUGCUCUGAUAGGGGUGGGUAAUCUUUUGAAUGUGCAUCGUGAUUGGGAUAGAUGAUUGCAAUUUUUCAUCUUCAACGAGGAAUGCCUAGUAAACGCAAGUCAUCAGCUUGCAUUGAUUACGUCCCUGCCCUUUGUACACACCGCCCGUCGCUCCUACCGAUUGAAUGAUCCGAUGAAUAUCAUGGAUUGAGGAUGCAAGUAGGUUCGCCUAUCUUCAUCUUCGAGAAGUGAAGUAAAUCUUAUCAUUUAGAGGAAGGAGAAGUCGUAACA
rnacentral:rRNA from 1 species